rnacentral:rRNA from 1 species
ACGUAGGGUGCGAGCGUUAAUCGGAAUUACUGGGCGUAAAGCGUGCGCAGGCGGUUCGCUGUGUCCUGUGUGAAAGCCCCGGGCUUAACCUGGGAAUGGCAUGGGAAACUGGCGAGCUUGAGUGCGGCAGAGGGGGGUGGAAUUCCGCGUGUAGCAGUGAAAUGCGUAGAUGUUGGGAAGAACACCGGUGGCGAAGGCGGCGCUCUGGACCGAGACUGACGCUGAUGCGCGAAAGCGUGGGGAGCAAACGGGA